rnacentral:rRNA from 1 species
UACGAAGGGUGCAAGCGUUAAUCGGAAUUACUGGGCGUAAAGCGUGCGUAGGCGGCGCGUUAAGCCUGAUGUGAAAGCCCUGGGCUCAACCUGGGAAUGGCAUCGGGGACUGGCGGGCUAGAGUUUGGGAGAGGGUGGUGGAAUUCCCGGUGUAGCGGUGAAAUGCGUAGAGAUCGGGAGGAACAUCUGUGGCGAAGGCG